UACGUAGGGUGCGAGCGUUGUCCGGAAUUAUUGGGCGUAAAGGGCUCGUAGGCGGUCUGUCGCGUCGGGAGUGAAAACUCAGGGCUUAACCCUGAGCUCGCUUCCGAGUACGGGCAGACUAGAGGUAUGCAGGGGAGAACGAAUUCCUGGUGUAGCGGUGGAAUGCGCAGAUAUCAGGAGGAACACCGGUGGCGAAGGCGGUUCUCUGGGCAUUACCUGACGCUGAGGAGCGAAAGUGUGGGGAGCGAACAGG
rnacentral:rRNA from 1 species